GAAGGCUUUGUGCUUUCCCCUCGCUACACUGGGGGCAGCUGAUGGACCUUGUUACCAGCAUCUGGCUCAACCAUCAGCAUUCAGGUUUGGAUUUUGUUGUUCUUGUGGAAGUUUAAAUCUGACCUGGGGUGAACAGAACAUUCUGAUGCUCUGCAUUAUUCAGCACGUAUUUCUUCAACAUCAUUUACAACAGUCUUCAACAAAACAGUCAUAGAUAAUAAACAGCAGUUCAGGUGAACUGUGCA
rnacentral:lncRNA from 1 species